UCAGGUUAUAACUGAACUUCAAGGCCUUCCUAGAAAUCUUUCCUCCAGGCUGGAGUUCAUGGGGCCGGACACGUGGCUCACGCCUGGAAUCCCGGCACUUUGGGAGGCUGAGUCAGGAGGAUCAGUUGAGCCCAGGAAUUCUAGACCAGCCCCAGCAACACGGCAAGACCCUGUCUCUACAAAAAAAUUUAAAAAAAUAAAAAUUAAC
rnacentral:lncRNA from 10 species